rnacentral:rRNA from 1 species
GACAGAGGGUGCAAACGUUGUUCGGAAUUACUGGGCGUAAAGCGCGUGUAGGCGGCCCGGAAAGUCGGAUGUGAAAGCCCUGGGCUUAACCCAGGAAGUGCAUUCGAAACUCCCGGGCUUGAGUUCUGGAGAGGAAGGCGGAAUUCUCGGUGUAGAGGUGAAAUUCGUAGAUAUCGAGAGGAACACCGGUGGCGAAGGCGGCCUUCUGGACAGUGACUGACGCUGAGACGCGAAAGCGUGGGGAGCAAACAGG